UAUAUCGGAGCUUCUUCUACCCACCCAGGUGGGUGCUCACCUAGGGUCUUCAACGGUGCGUGCAAUACACGCGCUGUUAGGAUCCUAAGCCAAAAAAACGUCAAGGUUGCAGUAAAACUUGUUUUACUACACUCACCCUUGCACGUGAUAUAUGAGAUAACCUAAAACAAAAAGAAAUAAGAGUAUUUUCAGCCGGAUAGAACGGUUAGAACCCAAAUGAGAAGAGGAGACACAGAAAUUGGGAAGGAGAGAUCGAAUCAAGCUGAUUAAACCUCAGCAUCGGUGCCUUCUGCCGAUUCUCCUCUUUCUUGAAGUCGACGCCGUUCCGGAAUCAGGACCUCCCCUUUCCGGCUACUUCGGUGCCUUCCGCCGAUUCCCCUCUUUUUGUUGAAGUCGACGCCGUCCCGGAAUCAGGACCUCCCCUUUCCGGCUACUUCGUCAUGAGCAUCGGGCUAAUGGGCGGUUGAGCAACUCAAGCGAACCGCCUCUAGGCUUCGCCAUCGCUCAUAAGACAGCCUGUCGGUCUGGUGUGAUCCUAUGUCAAUGGUAUAGUCGUCGGCAACAAUCGCAAGUUGGCGAAAAUUAAAUCCGAGUGAGUUCGAGUCACUGGAAUUGUGAAGGAUUCCAUUAUUUGGGUUACUGGGUUUUGGGCGAUUUGAUCUUUGGGGCUGCGCUUUCAGGACCAGAACAAUCUUCUUAGUGUUUGUGUUCGCCGUGCCCAGAAUAGCCCAAUUGAAAUAGGAGAAGCUUAUUGAGGAAUUGCAUUUGCCUAAUCUACUAGGACCUAUCGAAAAGGAGGAAGGAGGAUAUCCAUUUGAUCAAGGUUGAGUUCUUCAUUCUGUGUAGAUGCUAUUAUGGAGGUUUAGUUAAGUAAAAGGGUAUUGGGUUUGGUUGGAUCAAGGUAAAUGCUGCUAAAGACUAUAACUUUACGGUGUGAUUAUUCUUUGUAUUUACUCCUGGAUUUAUAAUUUGGAGUUUUAUUCAAUACUAAGUUCUUUGUUCAA